rnacentral:rRNA from 1 species
UUCCCCUAGUAACUGCGAGUGAAGCGGGAAAAGCUCAAAUUUAAAAUCUGGCGGUUCUUGUAGCCGUCCGAGUUGUAAUUUAGAGAAGCGUUAUCCGCGCUGGACCGUGUACAAGUCUCCUGGAAUGGAGCGUCAUAGAGGGUGAGAAUCCCGUCUUUGACACGGACUGCCAGGGCAUUGUGAUGCGCUCUCAAAGAGUCGAGUUGUUUGGGAAUGCAGCUCAAAAUGGGUGGUAAAUUCCAUCUAAAGCUAAAUAUUGAGGAGAGACCGAUAGCGAACAAGUACCGUGAGGGAAAGAUGAAAAGAACUUUGGAAAGAGAGUUAAACAGUACGUGAAAUUGCUGAAAGGGAAACGCUUGAAGUCAGUCGCGUCGUUCAGGACUCAGCCUUGCUUUGCUUGGUGUACUUCCUGUUCGACGGGUCAGCAUCAAUUUUGGUCGGUGGAUAAAGGCUUAGAGAAUGUGGCAUCUUCGGGUGUGUUAUAGCUCUGGGUCGCAUACAUCGGCUGGGAUUGAGGAACUCAGCACGCCGCAAGGCCGGGUACUUGUACCACGUACGUGCUUAGGAUGCUGGCAUAAUGGCUUUAAUCGACCCGUCUUGAAACACGGACCAAGGAGUCUAACAUGCCUGCGAGUGUUUGGGUGGAAAACCCGAGCGCGUAAUGAAAGUGAAAGUUGAGAUCCCUGUCGCGGGGAGCAUCGACGCCCGGAGCUGACCUUCUGUGACGCAUCCGCGGUAGAGCAUGUAUGUUGGGACCCGAAAGAUGGUGAACUAUGCCUGAAUAGGGUGAAGCAGAGGAAACUCUGGUGAGCUCGUAGCGAUUCUGACGUGCAAUCGAUCGUCGAAUUUGGGUAUAGGGGCGAAGACU